AAUAAGCGGAGGAAAAGAAACUAACAAGGAUUCCCCUAGUAACGGCGAGUGAAGCGGGAUGAGCUCAAAUUUAAAAUCUGGCGGCCUCAGGUCGUCCGAGUUGUAGUCUAGAGAAUCGUUUUCCGCGUUGGCCUGUGUACAAGUCCCUUGGAACAGGGCGUCAUAGAGGGUGAGAAUCCCGUCCUUGACACAGAUUACCAAUGCUUUGUGAUGCGAUCUCGAAGAGUCGAGUUGUUUGGGAAUGCAGCUCAAAAUGGGUGGUAAAUUCCAUCUAAAGCUAAAUAUUGGCGAGAGACCGAUAGCGAACAAGUACCGUGAGGGAAAGAUGAAAAGCACUUUGGAAAGAGAGUUAAACAGUACGUGAAAUUGUUAAAAGGGAAACGAUUGAAGUCAGUCAUGCUUUCCGAGACUCAGCCGAUUCUGUCGGUGUACUUCUCGGUUGGCAGGCCAGCAUCAGUUUCGAUCUGUGGAAAAGGUUGGAGGGAACGUGGCAUCUUCGGAUGUGUUAUAGCCCUUCUUCGAAUACAUAGAGCGGGACUGAGGAACGCAGCGCGCCUUUUAUUAGGUUGGCCCUCGGGUACAUACGCGCUUAGGAUGCUGGCAUAAUGGCUUUAAACGACCCG
rnacentral:rRNA from 1 species